rnacentral:rRNA from 1 species
UACAGAGGUCUCAAGCGUUGUUCGGAUUCAUUGGGCGUAAAGGGCGCGUAGGCGGCGGGGUAAGUCGGGUGUGAAAUCUCAGAGCUCAACUCUGAAACUGCACUCGAUACUGCUCUGCUUGAGGACUGGAGAGGAGACUGGAAUUCACGGUGUAGCAGUGAAAUGCGUAGAUAUCGAGAGGAACACCUGCGGCGAAGGCGGGUUGCUGGGCUGACACUGACGCUGAUGCGCGAAAGCUAGGGGAGCGAACGGG